rnacentral:rRNA from 1 species
AACGAACGCUGGCGGCGUGGAUAAGACAUGCAAGUCGAACGGGAUAACAUCUGUAGCAAUACAGGUGUUAUUUAGUGGCGAACGGGUGCGUAACACGUGGGCAAUCUGCCGAGAAGUGGGGGAUAGCUCGCCGAAAGGCGAAUUAAUACCGCAUAUGGUCAGGGACGACAUCUUCCCAACACCAAAGCCGGGGCAACCUGGCGCUUCUUGAUGAGCCCGCGGCCUAUCAGCUAGUUGGUGAGGUAACGGCUCACCAAGGCGAUGACGGGUAGCUGGUCUGAGAGGACGACCAGUCACACUGGAACUGAGACACGGUCCAGACACCUACGGGUGGCAGCAGUCGAGAAUUUUUCACAAUGGGGGCAACCCUGAUGGAGCGACGCCGCGUGGAGGAUGAAGGCUUUCGGGUUGUAAACUCCUGUCAUUUGAGAACAAGGUGCAGCGAUUAACUGUCGCUGCAUUGAUAGUAUCAGAAGAGGAAGAGACGGCUAACUCUGUGCCAGCAGCCGCGGUAAUACAGAGGUCUCAAGCGUUGUUCGGAUUCAUUGGGCGUAAAGGGUGCGUAGGCGGUUUGUCGCGUCUGCUGUGAAAACGCGGGGCUCAACCCCGCGCCUGCAGUGGGUACGGGCAGACUAGAGUGCAGUAGGGGAGACUGGAAUUCCUGGUGUAGCGGUGGAAUGCGCAGAUAUCAGGAGGAACACCGGUGGCGAAGGCGGGUCUCUGGGCUGUAACUGACGCUGAGGAGCGAAAGCGUGGGGAGCGAACAGGAUUAGAUACCCUGGUAGUCCACGCCGUAAACGUUGGGCGCUAGGUGUGGGACUCAUUCCACGAGUUCCGUGCCGCAGCUAACGCAUUAAGCGCCCCGCCUGGGGAGUACGGCCGCAAGGCUAAAACUCAAAGGAAUUGACGGGGCCCCGCACAAGCGGCGGAGCAUGCGGAUUAAUUCGAUGCAACGCGAAGAACCUUACCAAGGCUUGACAUGCAGGGAAAUCUCCCAGAGAUGGGAGGUCCGCAAGGGUUCCUGCACAGGUGGUGCAUGGUUGUCGUCAGCUCGUGUCGUGAGAUGUUGGGUUAAGUCCCGCAACGAGCGCAACCCUCGUCCUAAGUUGCCAGCAUUAAGUUGGGCACUCUGAGGAGACUGCCGGUGACAAACCGGAGGAAGGUGGGGAUGACGUCAAGUCAGCAUGCCCCUUACGUCCUGGGCUACACACGUACUACAAUGCUACGGACAAAGGGCAGCCAACCAGCGAUGGUGAGCAAAUCCCAUAAACCGUGGCUCAGUUCAGAUUGCAGGCUGCAACUCGCCUGCAUGAAGGUGGAAUCGCUAGUAAUCGCCGGUCAGCAUACGGCGGUGAAUUCGUUCCCGGGCCUUGUACACACCGCCCGUCACACCAUGGGAGCUGGUCAUGCCCGAAGUCGUUACCCUAACCCGCAAGGGAGGGGGAUGCCGAAGGCAGGGCUGGUGACUGGGGUG